rnacentral:rRNA from 1 species
CAACCAGUUGGAUAUAAAAUAAAAAAUUGAUGGAUCGGAAUCGUAUUAGGCGAUUAGAGCCAAUGAUGCGUAGCUGAGGGGCCACAUUUCCACUGAAACAAGGGGGAAACUCGAAAAGAGGCAGCAGUAGAGAAUAUUGUACAAUGUAUGAAAGUAUGAUACAGAGAUGUUACAUUUGAGAAGACUAUCAAAUUUAUGUGCCAGCAGAUGCGGUUAUACAUAGGGUCUAAGUUUUUAUAAGAAAAGGCGUAAAGUGUGUAUAGGUGCAAGUGUUUUAAAGGGGCAAAUAGAAUUAAAAUUAAGUAGUAGUAAAAUGCUUUAAUAUUAAUAAGAAUACCAAAGGUAAAAGCAAUUUGCUAGUUAAGACAGACGCUGAAACACGAAAGUAAGGGGAGCAAAUAGGAUUAGAGACCCUGGUAGUCCUUACUGUAAACUAUGAUUAGUAGAUUGUUAAUAAAGUAUUAAUGAUCAACGAAAACUUAAGAAAAUUCCGCCUGAAGUCUACGAUCGCAAGAUUAAUAUUCAAAAAAUUUGGCGGUUCACUAAUCCAAUUAGAGGAGCGUGUAGUUUAAUUCGAUGAUCCGCGAGUAAUCUUACCAAGAUUUGAAUAUAGAGUAAAUUAAGGAGUUUAUUACUUUAAAAUACAGGUAUUGCAUGGCCGUCGUCAGUUUGUGUUGUGAAAGGAAUAGAACGAACUUAACCCUUAAUAAAAAUUAUUAAAAUUAGAAAAUUUUUAAUUUAAGGAUGACGUCAGGUCCUUAUGAUCCUAAUAUUUUGGGCUAUAUAUGCGCUACAGUCUUAUAUACAAAAAGGUUUAAGUAAGCUUUAAAGUAGAAGUUCAAAAAAUUUUUUGAAAUUUAAAGUUUGAAGUUGGAUUUAAUAGUAAUCGAAAAGUAGAGCGUUUCGGUGAAUAUGGCUCUAGUGUUCGUACAAAUCGCCCGUCACCUCCACUAAAUAAAUAAUUUAAAAGUAUUAUAUUAAAAUUAAAAAUAA